rnacentral:rRNA from 1 species
UACGUAGGGACCGAGCGUUGUCCGGAAUCAUUGGGCGUAAAGAGCGUGUAGGCGGCUUGUUAAGUCUUGCGUGAAAUCUCGGGGCUCAACCCCGAGCGGUCGUGAGAAACUGGCAGGCUAGAGUGCGGGAGAGGAGAGUGGAAUUCCUGGUGUAGCGGUGAAAUGCGCAGAUAUCAGGAAGAACACCAGUGGCGAAGGCGGCUACCUGGACCGGUUCUGACGCUGAGGCGCGAAAGCGUGGGUAGCAAACAGG